rnacentral:rRNA from 1 species
AGAGUUUGAUCCUGGCUCAGAUUGAACGCUGGCGGCAUGCCUUACACAUGCAAGUCGAACGGUAGAGGGGCAACCCUUGAGAGUGGCGAACGGGUGAGUAAUAUAUCGGAACGUGCCCAGUCGUGGGGGAUAACGCAGCGAAAGCUGCGCUAAUACCGCAUACGAUCUAUGGAUGAAAGCGGGGGAUCGCAAGACCUCGCGCGAUUGGAGCGGCCGAUAUCAGAUUAGGUAGUUGGUGGGGUAAAAGCCCACCAAGCCGACGAUCUGUAGCUGGUCUGAGAGGACGACCAGCCACACUGGGACUGAGACACGGCCCAGACUCCUACGGGAGGCAGCAGUGGGGAAUUUUGGACAAUGGGCGCAAGCCUGAUCCAGCAAUGCCGCGUGCAGGACGAAGGCCUUCGGGUUGUAAACUGCUUUUGUACGGAGCGAAACGGUCUGGGUUAAUACCCUGGGCUAAUGACGGUACCGUAAGAAUAAGCACCGGCUAACUACGUGCCAGCAGCCGCGGUAAUUC